rnacentral:misc_RNA from 1 species
GAUGAAGAACGUAGCGAAAUGCGAUAAGUAGUGUGAAUUGCAGAAUUCAGUGAAUCAUCGAAUCUUUGAACGCACAUUGCGCCCCUUGGUAUCCCGAGGGGCAUGCCUGUUCGAGCGUCAUUUCACCACUCAAGCCUGGCUUGGUGUUGGGCGACGUCCUCUUUGGGGACGCGCCUCGAAACGCUCGGCGGCGUAGCACCGGCUUUAAGCGUAGCAGAAUCUUUCGCUUUGGAAGUCGGGGCCCCGUCUGCCGGAAGACCUGCUCGCAAGGUUGACCUCGGAUCAGGCAGGGAUACCCGCUGAACUUAAGCAUAUCAAUAAGCGGAGGA